GCUCAUUUCUAGUAAUAAUAAGUGGUAUUUCAUAAACCAGGAUACAUGAUCAUUUACUUCCUGAUAGCUUGCUUCUCCCAGAUCUAAUUCUAUUCUUCCUUGAGGGCUGUUGGUGCCAGUGCCAGGGCUGCAAACAUCAGGGUUAGACUGGAGAGUGACCCGUGUGCUCCUUCACCCCUGGGUGGGGCCUCUGUGCUUAUCAGUAGGCUAGCACCAGGUGCAGGAGACAGAUGUGCCGCCCGCUCACUAUGAUUACAUGGGACAGACAUGCUGCCCAUGCCGGGGCUUACCUGGGACAGACGUGCCACCCACUCACUAUGAUUACCUGGGACAGACAUGCUGCCCACUCACUAUGAUUCCAUGGGGACAGACAUGCCGCCCACGCACGGGGCUUACCUGGGAUAGAUGUGCCACCCACUCACUAUGAUUACCUGGGGACAGAUGUGCUGUCUGCUCACAGGGCUUACCUGGGAAUGAAGUUCCACUCCUCCACUUGCUUAGUUCUUGUUUAUUUGUCUCUCCC
rnacentral:lncRNA from 1 species